rnacentral:rRNA from 1 species
GACGAACGCUUGCGGCGUGCUUAACACAUGCAAGUCGAACGGAAAGGCCCUGCUUUUGUGGGGUGCUCGAGUGGCGAACGGGUGAGUAACACGUGAGUAACCUGCCCUUGACUUUGGGAUAACUUCAGGAAACUGGGGCUAAUACCGGAUAGGAGCUCCUGCUGCGUGGUGGGGGUUGGAAAGUUUCGGCGGUUGGGGAUGGACUCGCGGCUUAUCAGCUUGUUGGUGGGGUAGUGGCUUACCAAGGCUUUGACGGGUAGCCGGCCUGAGAGGGUGACCGGCCACAUUGGGACUGAGAUACGGCCCAGACUCCUACGGGAGGCAGCAGUGGGGAAUAUUGCACAAUGGGCGGAAGCCUGAUGCAGCAACGCCGCGUGCGGGAUGACGGCCUUCGGGUUGUAAACCGCUUUCGCCUGUGACGAAGCGUGAGUGACGGUAAUGGGUAAAGAAGCACCGGCUAACUACGUGCCAGCAGCCGCGGUGAUACGUAGGGUGCGAGCGUUGUCCGGAUUUAUUGGGCGUAAAGGGCUCGUAGGUGGUUGAUCGCGUCGGAAGUGUAAUCUUGGGGCUUAACCCUGAGCGUGCUUUCGAUACGGGUUGACUUGAGGAAGGUAGGGGAGAAUGGAAUUCCUGGUGGAGCGGUGGAAUGCGCAGAUAUCAGGAGGAACACCAGUGGCGAAGGCGGUUCUCUGGGCCUUUCCUGACGCUGAGGAGCGAAAGCGUGGGGAGCGAACAGGCUUAGAUACCCUGGUAGUCCACGCUGUAAACGGUGGGUACUAGGUGUGGGGUCCAUUCCACGGGUUCCGUGCCGUAGCUAACGCUUUAAGUACCCCGCCUGGGGAGUACGGCCGCAAGGCUAAAACUCAAAGGAAUUGACGGGGCCCCGCACAAGCGGCGGAGCAUGCGGAUUAAUUCGAUGCAACGCGUAGAACCUUACCUGGGUUUGACAUGGAUCGGGAGUGCUCAGAGAUGGGUGUGCCUCUUUUGGGGUCGGUUCACAGGUGGUGCAUGGCUGUCGUCAGCUCGUGUCGUGAGAUGUUGGGUUAAGUCCCGCAACGAGCGCAACCCUUGUUCACUGUUGCCAGCACGUUAUGGUGGGGACUCAGUGGAGACCGCCGGGGUCAACUCGGAGGAAGGUGGGGAUGACGUCAAGUCAUCAUGCCCCUUAUGUCCAGGGCUUCACGCAUGCUACAAUGGCUGGUACAGAGAGUGGCGAGCCUGUGAGGGUGAGCGAAUCUCGGAAAGCCGGUCUCAGUUCGGAUUGGGGUCUGCAACUCGACCUCAUGAAGUCGGAGUCGCUAGUAAUCGCAGAUCAGCAACGCUGCGGUGAAUACGUUCCCGGGGCU